rnacentral:rRNA from 1 species
AACGAACGCUGGCGGCAGGCUUAACACAUGCAAGUCGAGCGCCCCGCAAGGGGAGCGGCAGACGGGUGAGUAACGCGUGGGAAUCUACGCAUCUCUACGGAAUAACGCAUGGAAAAGUGUGCUAAUACCGUAUACGUCCUUCGGGAGAAAGAUUUAUCGGAGAUGGAUGAGCCCGCGUUGGAUUAGCUAGUUGGUGGGGUAAAGGCCUACCAAGGCGACGAUCCAUAGCUGGUCUGAGAGGAUGAUCAGCCACACUGGGACUGAGACACGGCCCAGACUCCUACGGGAGGCAGCAGUGGGGAAUAUUGGACAAUGGGCGCAAGCCUGAUCCAGCCAUGCCGCGUGAGUGAUGAAGGCCCUAGGGUUGUAAAGCUCUUUCACCGGUGAAGAUAAUGACGGUAACCGGAGAAGAAGCCCCGGCUAACUUCGUGCCAGCCACCGCGGUAAGAC